GGAUUAGAUACCCUGGUAGUCCACGCCGUAAACGAUGAUCACUAGAUGUUAGGUCCGAUUCAGGGCUUGGUGUCGCAGCUAACGCGUUAAGUGAUCCGCCUGGGAAGUACGGUCGCAAGAUUAAAACUUAAAGGAAUUGACGGGGGUCCGCACAAGCGGUGGAACAUGUGGUUUAAUUCGAUACUACGCGAGGAACCUUACCUAGGCUUGACAUGCUUUUGACCGCAAUGGAAACAUGGCUUUCUAAGCUUCGGUUUAGACAAUUGCACAGGUGCUGCAUGGCUGUCGUCAGCUCGUGUCG
rnacentral:rRNA from 1 species